GAUACCAAAUGAAGGCGAGUUUCUCCAACUAAAAUUCCUGCUAAUUUGGGAGACAGAUUUGGAGCACUGGAGAGCUAACAAGACCCAUUUUCCACGUCUGGAGCACCUAAUCCUCAGGCAGUGCUCGAAUUUGGUAGAGAUCCCAUCUAAUAUUGGUGAAAUACCGACACUUGAAACAAUUGAGAUAGAUCACUCUAGUCCUUCCACUGUGAAUUCAGUGAAGAAAAUACUGGAAGACCAACGAAGCUUGGGAAACGAUGGCCUCAAAGUUUUCGUCCAUCCAACAAAAACAAAAGUCUAUCCACUAAAAUUUGGGAUCCGGCAACAUGAAUCAGGAGGCUAUUAUAAACCCGAAACCAAAAUUGAUCGAUUGAAGGCCAAUGCGAACUCUAGAAGUGAUGGUGGUAGCAGCUCCAAUAUUAAUGAAUUAAAGCUCACGGAUUACUUGGACCAAAACUCUCUUUCUCCAGGACCAUAAAUGCCUUUUUGAGUUUCGUCACUUGUACAAUUGCACUUUGUUUGUAAUUAUUGAGAUUGCAUUUUACUUUUAAAGGGUUUUUAGUUUUGGAUUGUACUAUGUUAUCCUGAUUGUUCCGUGAAUAAUGUUACUUUGCCAGAAGCCUAGGUGGCGAAAAGUGAUUUGAUGGAAAAGAUGACUGUUUUUCAAACAGUCCAAUGAUAGAGUGCCAUAUGACACUAUAUCAACCAUUAUUUCAAGUAUUCUGGCAUUGUAGCAUGAUUGUUGAUUUGUACGACAUUAUUGAUUUCACUCUUCUUCACAGCAUUUUACCUUUGUUAAACAAUUGAUUCAGCAUUUGAUGUGUUGUGCUAAAGUUCCAAGUUUUGUGAUUU